AUGUAUUUUAUUGAUAUUUUGGUUAUGAAAGAGGAUCUUGUGGAUUGGCGUUUUACGGGGUUUAUUGUCUACCCGGGCUGGAAUGAUAAACAUUUAUCCUGGACUAAUCUCUAUAUGCGCAUAAAAAAGAAGGGUGAUUUCAACGAGAUUAUAUAUGCGCAUAAAAAAGAAGGCGGCAAGGCAAGACCAAAUUCGUUGAUGGGAGAUUUCCGUGACUGUUUGGGAGAAUGUGGAUUGGAAGACAUGGGAUGCCUUGUGACUCGUUCACGUGGAGGAGAGGUGAAAUUAGAGAGAGACUUGACCUUAUGGUAUGUACUAAUAUGGAUUGGGCGAGGAAAUUUCCUUUGGCCGUGA
rnacentral:rRNA from 1 species